rnacentral:rRNA from 1 species
AGCAGCCGCGGUAAUUCCAGCUCCAAUAGCGUAUAUUAAAGUUGUUGCAGUUAAAAAGCUCGUAGUUGAAUUUCGGGGUUCUACCGUUGGUCAGGCUAUUGUUUGUACUGGCGUGUAGAAUUUCUACCUUCUGGGGAACUAUCAUGUUAUUAAUUUAGCGUGGUAGGAAACCAGGACCUUUACCUUGAAAAAAUUAGAGUGUUCAAAGCAGGCUUAUGUCUGAAUACAUUAGCAUGGAAUAAUAAAAUAGGACGGUGGCCCUGUUUUGUUGGUUUCUGAAUCACCGUAAUGAUUAAUAGGGAUAGUUGGGGGCAUUAGUAUUCAAUUGUCAGAGGUGAAAUUCUUGGAUUUAUUGAAGACUAACUACUGCGAAAGCAUUUGCCAAGGAUGUUUUCAUUAAUCAAGAACGAAAGUUAGGGGAUCGAAGACGAUCAGAUACCGUCGUAGUCUUAACCAUAAACUAUGCCGACUAGGGAUCGGACGAUGUUAACUUUCUUGACUCGUUCGGCGCCUUACGGGA